rnacentral:ncRNA from 1 species
CGCUGUUCUCAGGGCGGGGUGAAACUCCCCACCGGCGGUAAGGCGGCAACGCCAAGCCCGCGAGCGCUUCCAGCUUGAGUUGGAAGGUCAGCAGAUCCGGUGUGAUUCCGGAGCCGACGGUUAUAGUCCGGAUGAAAGAGAAAGAGU